rnacentral:miRNA from 1 species
GGUCGAGCAGACAACGAAGAU